UUGCAAUGAGAAGAAGAGGAAGUUCACAGAGACAAUUGAGCUCCAGAUUGGGCUUAAGAACUAUGAUCCCCAAAAGGACAAGCGUUUCAGUGGAUCUGUGAAACUGCCUCAUAUUCCUCGCCCUAAGAUGAAGAUUUGUAUGCUUGGAGAUGAUCAGCACGUGGAGGAGGCAGAAAAGAUCGGGUUGGAGUACAUGGAUGUGGAAAGCCUCAUAAUAAGAACAAGAAGCUAGUUAAGAAGCUUGCCAAGAAGUACCAUGCUUUCUUGGCUUCUGAAUCUCAUUCCUCGUCCUAAGAUGAAGAUUUGUAUGCUCGGAGAUGCUCAGCACGUUGAGGAGGUUAUCCUCCUUUUCGCGUUAGUUAAUGGCUACAGUUAAACUUCAUUUGGUUCUUGUUUGCCUCAUAAAGUAUUUGCGAACUAAAGCUUGGUAUUAAAAUGGAAAGGGGUAGAGUGGUGCACGCAUUUUCCACUGAGUUCUCGGUUAUAAAAAUAAAGUAGUUAAAAGUGCAUAUCCUACUGCUGAGUGAAUUUCCGUUACUGCCCUUAAUAUCAUUAUUUUAAUUGUCAAUUAUUUAACAAUGUGUAUAUGUAGUUAUUACUUGGAAAAUUGUAUUGAGAAUGAAUUGAUUGUAUUAUUGUCAAUUGACAUAUUUUGUAUAGUACAUUUAUGCAUUGCUGAAUGUGUGUCUGGAGCAGUAUGAGGUGAAAAUUUAAAAUUUCAUGCACGGUUCUGUAAUUGCUAUGGGCACCAUGAUGUUAUCAUCAAUGAUGAUUGCCUAGCAGUUUAAGAGCAGUUAAAAAGAGUGGAAUCACAGUCAAAAUGUGUUUUUCACAGGUUGGCAAAUAUUUUGUGCUUUGUUUGCAAGUUUGUCUUUCUACCUUUGUUUCUAUGUGUUAUCUUCUAGUCUGUGAUGCGUUUCUUGUGUAUAAAAUGCAAUUGCAUGAUUUGAUCACAACUCAAAUAGUGUGGUAACUUGGCUAAACGAUAUAAUGGCGCCAGAAGUCCCAUUAGUUGAAAGGGUAAAUCUGCAAAUUAUGUGUGAAUGCCGAUUAGUA
rnacentral:lncRNA from 1 species